UCGAAGCCUGUUUGCGCCUCUGGCCAGCGUGAGCCACAAAGGCCUGCGUGACCAAGCCCCAGCCCCACACUGCAGCUUCACUGGUACCACUGUCCCCAUAAAGAAAGGGAAGGAAGAUCCUUGCGAGAGCCUAGGAAGAAAUAACCUCUAACAACUUCUGCGGUUCCUCCCUUCUCACUGCACUCCCCCUCCCGCCAGUCCUGGAGGACUUGGAAAAAAACCUCGACAAGGAUGGCCAUUUAAUCCCACGGGAUGACAAGUUCCCACAGGAAACCUUGAAGACUUUAAGCAGCGGAAUGACAUACCCAGUUUCUGGAAAAUGGAUUGAAAAGAGGCAAAAGGAGAACCAGAGAGAUGAAUUAGGAGGCUGGAGCCAUCACCCGGAAGUGAGCCCUCGAGGAAAUCAAGAUUUGAGAUGCAGAGUCCAUCUUAACUGGACUGAGAACUAAGAGACAGUGGAAAGAGCACUGCAUUUGGGACAGGACACACUAGCUGAAGCCGCAGCUCUGGUUGUGACCUUGGGCGGACUUAUCUGACCUCUAACUUCUCGUGUCACCAGGGUUGGGGCAAGAUGAGGAGAACAUGGGCUCAUGGAUAAGAAACAGCUUAGCAACCUGUAGGGGGCUGUGCUGCUGGAAGUCUGCUGUCUUGACUGCCCUCCCAGCAGCCCUGUAACCUGACGCCCCUCACACCCUGACCCAGGCUGCUCCUCACGGACCGGACCGACACUCAGCUCCUCCGAAACUCACUUAUCCACGACCUGCUCAGGUUUCCUGGCUCUCAAGGGGGCAGGCCCCAGGCCCCUGUCUGCAGGCCCUUGUGUUUUCCUGUCUCACCAUCCUCCCAGCAGAUCUUUUCCUUACCCACGGCAGCACUGAGGAGCCCUGGGCCAGCUGCCGGUCAUCCAUUCUCACCUUGCUCUCCUUGCUGGUGGAGGGUGUGAAGCUCCUUGGGGACCCAGGAGAGUCCUCUCAAUCAUUCCUCACUCGGCCACUUAGAGCUGUGAGGCCUUGGGCAGGUCCCUCAAGUCCUCCGCUUUGAACGCCUCCUCCUGGAAGUUGGCGACGAUGGUAGCACCUCUUUGUAAGUGGCUGUGUAGAUUAAAUAAGUCAUCACGCUUAAGGAAUUUAGG